UCCCUGAUGGUCCAGUAGUUAAGAAUCUGUGCUCCCAAUGCAGAGGGCAUGGGUUCAAUCCCUUGUUGGGGAA
rnacentral:tRNA from 1 species